AACAUUUGCCACCGUGCUUCCUGGUCGUUAAUCUUUUGCCACACCAGGUUUCAGAGAAAUAUUGGCUUUCUAUUCUUUAUCUCCACGAGCAUGUUUAAUGCUAGAAUUAAAAAAAAAUGUAUGCAUAUAAUUUGUUUUUACAAGUAAUAACUGUUUAUUUUCUGUCAUACAGUUUUCUUACUUUGCCACUAUUAAAUAGAUGUGUAAUAGCACUGAAAAAAAAAAAAAAAUGUGUUAGUGUUCACACUCUUUUUGAUAACUGAAAAAAUAUGUAUGAAGUGCUAUUUUAUUAGUAUUGUUUUGUCGGUUUUAUAUAAGCCUUGCUAUUUUGUGGUGGUCAGAAAUGAGCCUAAAUGCAUUGCGUUUUCAGUUACAAUUGUAAAACUCUUCACCAACUGCUGUCAUGUGAUCAAUGGGCACUGGGUGGUAUUCAGGCUGCAUCAAGCAGCCCUUUUGCAAACAUUUCAUUUCAUUUCAGGUGGCUUGAUGGCCAUAUUGAUCAAGAAGCAGAAUCCCUCUAUCAGUUGAAGAACUUGUAGGCUGUUUACCUUGUGCAGAUGCCACUGCACACAUGCACAUCAGGGGAGAACACACAAUGCAAUGAAUCAUGGGGCAAGCCAUCUGUGUCCUCACGCAAGAGGAAAA
rnacentral:lncRNA from 1 species